AGACCAUGGUAAAGGCACUUAUGCAACAAUAGCUUAAAACGUUCUCAUGCCUCGUAUAUUGUUUCCUCUUCAAGUUGUUAAAAGUUUGUAAUAUCCAUUCUCAUCUU
rfam:Gossypium arboreum cultivar AKA8401 contig_2402_1, whole genome shotgun sequence.